AAUAACAAAAAUAACCCAAACGACAAGGCUAACUAUUUUGCGGAGAAAAAGGGAGAAAAGAAGAGUCUCUCGUUCCUAGCAAAACCCCAACCCUAACGAAACCCCUAACCCCAAUCCAUUCCAAAUGAUUCAUUCCUCUCUGGUUCUUCAAUCCAUUCGAUGAUGACGCGCGUUCCUUUAUUGAGCUUCGAUCUCAAUCUCUGCUCAGGAAUGAGCUUCGAUCGUUGAGCUUCGAUCUUCUCUGCUUGCGAAUGAGCUUCGAUCCUCUGCUCCUCUUCUUAUUGAGCUUCGAUUCUCUGCUCGUUGAGCUUCUAUCUCUGCUAAUUGAGCUUCGAUCCUCUACUCCUCUUCUCAUUGAGCUUCGAUCCUCUCUGCUCGUGUUCAUCACUGCCGGUUACUGUUCGAUUAUCACUGCUCGCGUUUUUUGUGAGAUUCUCGUUUUUGGCAUUCUUCUACAGCCGGUCAAAUCACAAACCUAACAGAAACUCUGCAAUAGCCGGCAGCAGAAGCGAUUGCUUCCGUCACCGUCGUCGUUGUAUAGAUCGAACAGCACUAGCUUCACAAUCGGCAUCAUUGCUAAGACCACGGAAUUGCGAAAACCUUGGCAACUGGAAUGGGAGACGUCGAAUAAGGGGCUGAAAAAGUGGUCCGGAGACGGCAAAAAUCGUGUUCCUCUCUUUUUGCAUUCAUCACAGUCGGUGCUAUUAGAUUGAUUCUUUGGACACUUUGGCUCUACUCGGUGAUCGUGACCGCUUUGCCACUUCCAUUGAAUGGAUUGGUAAAAAUAUUCGCUUUGAUAUUAACAAAACUGUUUCUUUGUUUGAGACGACAAUCAGAGUUCUUGGAGGAUUGCUUUCGGCUCAUCUUAUAGUCAAUGAUUACGCUACGGUAUCUGUUAUAUACAUUAUUGUAUACCUGCAUUUUUGUAUUUUGAUAAUAGUCUAGUGAUUCUAACAUUUGAGCACAGGGAUGCGAUGAUUGGUGCCGUUCCAAGCUAUGAGGAGCCGUAUAUUAAAGUUCCAAGGGUCUUAAGUAUGGACUAAAAACUUUGUAAAGUUCAUUGAAGGUGGAGCAAAGGCUGAAAUAAACUCAUAGUGAAGUUGACUCGGUGAAAGACCUGAAUGAAUCAAUCCUUCUUCAGGAUGAAGAACAUGAAAACAAAGGAAAAGAUGAGAGCUGUGAAGCUGCUGAAAGCGGUGCAUCUGAAAGGGAAGAUGCAACUGAGGAGAUUUAGCAUAUGGGACAAGUCAAGCAUGGAUAUAAAAUAUGCAAGUAGAUUGACAUCUUUUUUACAAAUAUUACUAUUUUGUUAUGACAAUUAUUGUUAGAUAAGAAUUUUAUUAUUUUGUCGAGAAUUAUUGAUGAAUAUGUAUUUGAAAUACUAAUUGAACAUUUUAAUAUCUAUUUUAAUUU